rnacentral:sRNA from 1 species
GCCGGGUGUAGAGGCACACACCUGUAAUCUCAGUGACCCAGGAGGCUGAGACAGGAGGAUUGCAAGUUUAAAGCCAGCCUCAGCAACUGCUAGGCCCUAAGCAACUGAGUGAGACCCUGACUCAA